GAGCCGCCGUCUCCCAGCAGCUUAUGCGGAAGUGAGGUACUUAUACGGAGAGGAAUGGUUUGAAGACGCGAGUAGGGUGGGUUAAGAAUGUUGUUAGUUUCCCGGGGAUGUGUGCAAGAAUUGGAAGGAAUAAUGGAUGUUUCCUUCUUUCAAGAAGGACAUUCGUGUUUAAUUGUGGGUAUAGCUAGACCGCGGGAAGCAUGUGUGCUAAAAAUGCCCCGACUGCUCUCUACGCUAUGUCCUCUCAAGGACAAUGGGCUGAACUAGACCCUUCGGAUGCACGAAAGGGUGGCGGGUUCUGCACCUCUGAGCUUGGAAACUGGUGGACUUAAGUCAUGCGGUCCCCACCGGCCUCGGCGCGUUUUUCAAGAAAACCCCCCAGCAAGACACCACGUGUACCGUCACUGUGCGAGGACAUGUUGUACGUGUGUCGUCCCAGCAGGCGGCGCUGGUUGCUUUCAAUAAAGACCCUGUUUCUGGAACUCUCAAAGACAAGUUCCUGAUAUUGAGGAAACCUGGCUUCUCUAAAGCCUUCUGCACCCGUCCUUUAUGCUUCUUGGGAAUUACACCUGGGUCUUGUUGGAAACCGGUUCCUGGUAAUAUAGGCUGGCAGCUGUGCAGGACCCUCCUUGGGACUUCCAGUGUUGGUGGAAAGAUUCUGUUCAACUGCAGUUUGUGUCAAAGGAUACGACCAAUGAGCUGUGACUGUUUUUAACAAGUUCUGUCUUUACCCAUAUACAAAUGCUGUAUUGAGGGAACUAGACUGGAAAUGUUUCUUCAUUUACAGAACAGGAAGUGGAGUUUCUUUUUGCUGUUGUUCCCUUUCUAGCAUUUUGGCUUCUGUUUUUGCAAUGGUGACAAUUGCACUUCUGUUCAAGGCUACAUAUUGUCACCAAGCUGAUACAGUAACUGAUAAGAAACAUCCCAGUCCACUGUUCUUUUUGGUCGUUUGCAUCUAAAUGCAAUUAAGUGGAAGGGGUAUUGUACUAUAGUAAUGUAAGAUUAGUUGUAUAGGAUGUCCUUAAACCAGACUACAAUCUAUGAAUGGUUAAAUGUAUGUGUGUUAUCCCCCAGGAACUCUGACACCUUCUAUUAAAUUGCGCUAGGAGUCUGUCAAAACCUGUUAACUCUGAAGAGCGCAGGGACAUACAAUAGGUUUCUCUCAACAUCUAGGA